rnacentral:ncRNA from 2 species
CCAAUAGCGUAUAUUAAAGUUGUUGCAGUUAAAAAGCUCGUAGUUGAAUUUCGGGAUUAGUACGUCGGUCGUGCCUUCGGUACGUACUGGUGUUACUGAUUCCUACCUUCUGACGAACCAUCAUGUCAUUAAUUUGGUGUGGCGGGGAAUCAGGACUGUUACUUUGAAAAAAUUAGAGUGUUUAAAGCAGGCUCGCGCUUGAAUACAUUAGCAUGGAAUAAUGAAAUAGGACGUUGACCCUAUUUUGUUGGUUUCUAGGAUUGACGUAAUGAUUAAUAGGGAUAGUUGGGGGCAUUAGUAUUCAAUUGUCAGAGGUGAAAUUCUUGGAUUUAUUGAAGACUAACUACUGCGAAAGCAUUUGCCAAGGAUGUUUUCAUUAAUCAAGAACGAAAGUUAGGGGAUCGAAGACGAUCAGAUACCGUCGUAGUCUUAACCAUAAACUAUGCCGACUAGGGAUCGGAUGAUGUUAUUUUUAAUGACUCAUUCGGCGCCUUACG